AUUCAGGCUUAAGUAAAUAUAGCGUGUGACAGGAGACUUUGGCCAAUCACAGGUUAUUUCAGAGAGAGAGAGAGAGAGAGAGUUCCUAUUGGCUCUUAUGUGCUUAUAUUGCCCGUGCGACAGAGAGGGGAGAGCUGCAGGAAGAGUCUCACUCUACUACAAAUUCUGGCGUUUCUUUGCAUUCUACCUAUUGCAGCUUUAAAUACGGCUGUGAUGGUAUAGUUUUUUUCUUACCGCGGUGAAGAAGCAACGUGUCACCGCGGUAUCGCGGUUAACCGCAACCCCCUUACGAGAGUAGCGUAAGUUAGAGCAAGAAUAGCAGGGUGCCUUAAGUGAGUGAUGUCAGUGCUCGUGUGGUCGCAAAGGAGAGCGAGCGCUAACGGAGAGUAGCGUACGAGUGCAGCUGUGAGGAAAAGUGUGAGGAAAAAGAGGUAGCAAAGAUGAUGUAAAGUGAGUUAAAAGUGAACAAUAAAACAACGAGCUUCUCAAGACACGGUGGCUUUAUCUGUUGUCAAUACUGCCAGUAAAGUGAAUGGCGUUACCCCCGAAAAAGCAUCGGCUUAAACCUUACAUCAUAUGUUGCAGUCAUAGACUCUCAAUGUGAGAGUCUUUACUGUGUCUUGCUGUCAUUUACGGCCGCGCUUCUUUCUCUCCUCUCCGUUGAUCUAUUCCACAGACAG